AGUGCAGCUGGCAGGCUGCAAGGAGAUAAGGAACUGAACUGGCUGCAUCUCUGCUGCUUGGCUCUCUUCUCCUCUUCCCGUCUCUUUAGCAAAUCUC
rnacentral:miRNA from 12 species